GUGUUGGGAGCAAUGCUACAUAAUUCUAGGGAUAAAUCAUUUGGUUAGCCUAGUUCUCUUGCCUACAGCCCAGCUACAGAAUAACUCCAGUUUGGCCUCCGGUCACAACUGAGACUUCAGUGAUCCAGUGAUGCUGUGAUUCUCCAGGACAAGAAACAUCCUGGGAGAACAAACAUCUGCUCAGUUCCUCAUUGUUCUUGGACUGAUUAACAUCUCGUUUACCGGAGAUGUACUGAACUCUCUGCAAGCCUUCCGUUACACCUUGUUUAUCCCAAUGUGAACUAUUGAACUCUCUGCAAGUCAUUUGUUACAUUUGUUUCUCCGGAUGUACUGAAUAAAAGGUGUGGUAAGCUGGGGGCUUUGUCUUUGCUGCCCAGAGCAGCACUCAUCAGAACCAAAGCUCAGCUUCUUCUCAGUCUCAUUUUUCUACCUUUCCUGUAAUUCGCUGUGUGCUGCCGUGGCUUGCAGGAGACCAGGACUAACUGCAGAGGUUCUGGUAAUGUCCCCUUCCCCUGUCCCCUACAUUUGGUGCCCAACGUGGAUGUGAAUCGGAUCCAGGGGUGAACUCACCUGUGAGACAAACUUGGAGUAAGAGAGACAGCACACGGAUCUCCCAGGACGAUUUCCGGACUAGGACGAGGGACACCAGUGAUCCAACAGCUAUCAAUCAAACAGCUAGCAUCUCACUGACAUUUUGUUGAUCUCGGGCAAUGACAGCUGCCACUGUCUUGGACACCUUCACUUGUUUGGACCAAUCACAGUUUUUCAUCUUGUUUGCUGAAGGCAGAGGUAUUCUCAUAAUCUGAAGAUCUUCUUUAAAGAAACCUGCAUAAAUCUCUCCUAUGGUACAAUAAGGAUGGAAGAAAUGGUAAUGGCUUUUAUUCCUCUUUGGAAGGAUUUUUAAUGACAUUUAACAUUAUGAAAAGGUACAAAAAUUUACUAAUAAUUAAUAGUAAUAAUAUUUUUAUAGUCAAACUUGAUAAUCAUUGUCUUACAAGUGAGAAACAUUUCAACAUUCUACUUUAGCAACAUUUUGACUUUAAGGAAAUACAUGAUUUUGUUGGAAGGUGUGAACUAUAGGUUUUUACUUUUUGACCACUGACACAGACAAAUGAUACAGCGAAGGUUAAUAACACUAUACUCUCAUCAUCUUAGAAAUAAAUUCAGGUAUGGCAGGUAUGCAUUGGAUUCUUUUCAGGAUUUUUAGUUUGUGUUUCAUGAGAAAAGCAAAAUUAAAUUUCUUGCAAUAAAAAUGUAAGAUAAAAGCAUAGAAAAAUGUUAUCUAUGGCAGUAUUUUCUCACCCUUCCAUCCUCACCUAAAGGCCCAUUAGCUUGUCUACAACCACAGAAAACAGAUCCGUGUCCAUAGAAACAAAGGACAUAAGACAGUUCUUUUAGUCACCAAGUAAAGCCAACUGUACCUCUGUCCUUCCCAUAUGAAUAAAUAAAUUAUUAAAUCUUUUCUCUGGGUUUCAGUCCCUGGCAAUGGAAAUUCUGAUUAGUAGAUUUCUAUGUAGGAAACCCUGCUGUGUGCUUGAAUAAAUAUGAAAUAUAGAGUCUGUCUUCUAGAUGUUACAUGUUAACUAGGGAGACUGUUUAUGUAAAGAUCAAUAGUGCUAUAGUGUAUAGUAAUACAGUCCAAGCUUAGGAUAUCCAGAAGGAAAAGGAAAAGCAGUGGUAAUGUGAAGGGAACUUCUAGGAAGCACAAAGCAACAUACAUUGCACAUUUUUGUCAAAGGUAUGAAAAAAUCCAGUAUAUUUGUAAGUUAGGGACUUACUGUAUAUAAGGUUCUUGUAUAAGAGAUUCAAAAGAUGAUGGUGUAGAUGAAAUAGAGAAAGUCUUGUACAGUCAGGACUCUCUAAGGAGAUUCAAUUUAUCUGGGAUGAGGGAGAAAUGUUAAGAUUGGGUAAAAAAAUACAAGUUGUGUUAUUCUGAAUGUCCAGACACUUGGGACCAGAGAUCCCUCUAAAGGAAUUCAAAGAUAUACUGAGGGAAAGGAAACCAAGUAACAAGGAGCAUGAAACUGAGAUCUCCAUUAAAAGAAUAGAUAAUGAAAAUGUGGUAUCUAAACAUAAUAGAAUAAUACUGUUUGGCUAUAAAGAAAUUUAAAUUAGAGAUAUUUGUAGGAACAUGGAUACACAUUGAAAAUAUAGUAUUAAAUGAAAUAAAUCAGAUAUACAUAUAAUCAUACAUACAUACAUACAUACAAGAUUAACCAUAUCACUUCAAUUAUUUCAGUAAUCCAAAGUACAAAUAAAGAGCAAAGUUAAAGAUUGAUAAAAGGAGUCAGUGAGAUAGAUAUUUUGCAAAUGGAAAUGGAAUCAGGAGAUGGUGGGGAGGCAAGGAAAAGAGAAAGAUACAUAAAAAGACUUAAGCAUCUUGUACACGUACCAGAUACUCACAGUGAAUGUAACCAUAGAUUGCAAACAUGAACUAAAAAACUACAAUGACAAUAACAAUUAAAAUGAUUAAAGGGAUCUAGAGAUGGGGAGAAAGUAAGUAGGUAAGGAGAAGAGGAAUAAAAACAAUCAAGAUGUGGGAAAUAUAUGUACUUCUUAACAUAAAUGUCAACAUAUUAUGCUGCAAACAUGUUAAAAAAAUAACAACAAAAAUGAAAAUCUCAAGACUUUUCUUUAGAAAAGAAGCUUCCAUAGAGUCUUGUAUCCUGUACAACCUUGAAGAUAUGGAGGUUUCACUUUAAUCACAAAAUAAGGAAAAAGGAGCCCUACUAUAGCUGAGGAACAGCCUGUGAUUUAUGAAGGCACUAGGAGAAUAUUGGCUCUUCUGAAAUACACUUCCUCCAAUGAACUGCUUGUACCGUUGAUCCCAUUGUGAUACCUGCUUAGAACAAGCAACCACCACAAUUGUGUAUAUCUUCAACAAAAUGCUGAAAAGAAACACUUUCUUGUCUUUCAAUUGAAUAUUUUUAUUUCAUAUAAUGCUAGUAGAGAACAAAUAAACCUAUACUAUUGAUUUAUUUAUCAUGAAAUAUUUCAUUAUAUACAUUGUGAUGUGUUAUGUGUUUUUUUCUUUAAUUAGAAAACUAAUAUUAUUACUUCUUAAGUUUAGAAAUACUACCUUAGAAAUUUAUGCUUCAAGAUUCUGGAUUUAUGUACAAAAUACCCUAAAAAGGAACUAUAUUCCUGAGAUGUUCACAAACAAUGCAUUAAAUAAAUCAGAAUGAAUAUUUGAGUUUAUUCUUCGAGGGGGCAAAAUAAAAUAAAUAUUUCAAUCUUACAUGACUUGGAAAUAAAUGACUAAAGAAGUGUGGCUUUCUGGGAGGAGUGUAUAGGUACAUUUACCCUUCCAUUCAUCAGAUAUGAUUUCUUUUUUUUUAAAUUAGUUUUAUUGGUACAUUUUAGGUAUAUAAUAUAAUGACAUUCAUCAUUGGAAAUUUGCACCUCUACAUAAUCUCUUGAUUCUUACUUUUUCCCCAUUCCCCUGCCCUUCUUUCAACCCCUCCACCCCUCCCUAUUUACAAAGACUUUCCAUUUUUUCAUUUUCUCAUAUUAAUUUCAUUCCCUUCUUUCCUUUUCCCUGCCCCUCCCACUUCCCAUUCCCCUUUGCACCUUUUCUUCCUAUUUCACAUUAUCUAUUAUACCUUUUAGUCUUUAUUUAUGCCUUCAGUUUCUCACACUAGAAAAACUAUUCAGUAUUUACACGUGUGUGUCCUAUUCAUUUCACUUAGGACUACCACCUCAAUGUGCAUCCAUUUAGCAAUAAAUGUCUCUAAUUUCCAUUUUUUAUGGCUGAGUAGUACUCCAUUUAUAAAAAACCCCACAUUUUUUAUGUGCAUCCAUCUUCAUAGCAGCACAAUUUGUAAUAGCUAAAACUUGGAAGCAGCCCAAUUACCAAUCAACUGGAGACUGGAUAAAGAAGAUCAGAUAUGAUUUCUGUUAGCUCACUCAAUGCAUCCUAGACACUACACCCUAGACUUAAUGGAUGAGUCUCUCUUUACUUUACUACCAAUUCCUAAUUUUUCAUUGAAUUAUUAAUGGGUCUAGUGGUUGUGAACCUUUUUUAUUGGUUUUGUUUGUCUUUGGUUUACGAGGUUGGAGUGGAGCAGGAGGAGCAAUGAAUAGUAGAAUAUAUAAGGGCAAUAUUGUGUUGAAGUGAUUCAUAAGCCCUCUUUCAUCAAAUGCUAUUGGAAUUGAAUAAUGAAGGCUUGUGAGCUAGAAAAAUGUAAAAUGAAAAUUUUAUUUUCAUAGUGUAUGAAAACAAGGUUGUACAAAAUAUUCUUAUAAUGAAAAAUUUAAGGAUGUGAUAAAUGCCCGACAUAAAGUGGAAAAGACUAUUAUAAUUUCAAAGUACUCUGAUCAUCUAUGUUAAAGAAGCUUUCUUGGAAAGACAUGAGCAUCUUGUUGGAGUAGUAUCAUAACAAGGUAAUACCCUCAGUACAUGAGGUAAAAGGACCCAAGUUACCCAAGUUAUUUAGAUGAAUGCAUCAAGAGUUAUCAUGGUUGGAGUGUCUCUGAGGAGUAAGGAAGAACAAUUGUCUACUCUGAUGUUUUCUUUUUCUCAUUGUGUAAGAAUAAAGAAGAAGCUGGAAAGAUUGCUGGUGAAUCAAUAUAUUCGUGGAGAAAUGAGUCUAGUUAAAACAAGAAACUUAAGAAAAUGUUCACAAAUGACGCCUUGGAGAACUUUGCUCAUAAAUGACUGUGAGUCCAGGGAGGAUACUGGAAGGCAGACUACUGUGACAAAGUAUGUUAGGCAAUAAGGGUGACCUGAAAAUCUUACAGUUAUGAUUUGACAAACAGAAUUAAAUAGCAGAGCUGAGAUGAGGCCCACUAAUCUCUAGGUAGAUAGUGAAGCUGAGACUACACUUAGUGUUGUUGGAAGAACGUUGAAAUGGUGAGAUCUCUCCAGACAGUAUGAUUCUCAGACUUUCUUAUGUCCUACUCAUGACACUGUGGAAGUUGCAGAGAGGAACUUCAUCCAGAGAGCAUAAGGACUUCCGUGACUGCCUCUUCAAUUCUGCUAUCGGAGGCAGUCUAGGGGAGGUGUGGUCUUAUCCACGUAUCUGUUCCUCCUUCACUCACUGAAACACAUUUAUAAAACUGGGCCUGGGAUUUAGCUCAGUGGUUCUGCUGCCUGCCUCGCAAGGACAAGGUCCCAAGCUCGAUCCCUGGUACCAAAAACAAAACAAAACAAAACAAAAAAACUACCCUAACAAUUUCAAGAAAACAACCUUAUGUUAAUUUUCAACACAGUCCAAUCUUUCAUGGUACUGGCAGCAAAAUAUUUGUUUUAGCUAAGGAAAAAUUAAUAAGUCUUUCUGGCAGCAGGAGUAUAUUAUUUAGGGUACUCUAGGGAAACAGAGUCAAUUGAAUAUAUAUGUGUGAUUAUGCACUGGAAUUCAUUAACUAGGCUUACAGGAUCAGAAAUGAGAGAGCCCACAAUGGCAUUUGUGGGACCAGACGCAAGAGAGUCCGCAAUAGUCACUUGAACAUUACAGACCCAGAAGAUACAGGAGAUGCUUGGCCAAGAAGGUGGAGGCCACAGGACAGGAGGAUGCAAGGAUACAGCACUUGUCCAAGUUUGAAGGCCUAGAAGCUCCCUGGAUAGUUACCAAUAUGAGUCUGUGUUAGAAAGCUAAAGAAACUGCAGAUCUGGAUACUGAUGUCCAGUGGCAACAGCAGCAGAGUAUACACACAAUUAGGAAGACGGAAGUUCUUCAAACUGUGGACAGUUCCUUGUUUUCUCCUCUUUUUAUUCCAUCCUGGCUACAACCCCAUUUGUUAGUGCCACCUACAUCAGGAAUGAGUCUUCCUCCCUGGGUUGACUGGUUUAUAUAUCAGUCACCCAUUCACAGUUCUGUUAGAUAAUGUGUAGGAUUUCUGACCCCAGAGAAUGCAAGAUGUACUUAGGUAUAAUAAAAUGGAGCAGUUGACCGUUCCAAGGAAUAAUACGUGUAAUUCUAUUGUUUCAAAAACACAUCAUCUAUUGAAGAAUGAGUGAGAGAAGCUCACUACGAUGAUUAUAAUAAAAAUAUAAUGGUACUUCUUUUUAAAAGGACAGUAUAAGGUAAUUUACCAUGUAUACAUCACCUGUGACCCCAACGUUUUAAAUUUUAUGCUCUGUUCAAUGGCAGUAGCAGGGAGUCUGGAGGGAGAAUUCUCUCACAGAUUUACAAACUACCAAAAUGUUUAAACUUAACUAAAUAAAAGACUAUUUGCUAGCCUAGAGUUGUUUUAAGACAAAUUCUUUAGUACCACCUCAACUCUUCAGCAGAGUGUAAUAUUUAAAUGUAAUUUUAUGAGGUCUGGUGUGCCCACAAUAUGUGAAAACAAUGAUUAGUUUUUAUAGAGUUCCUGCAACAUUGCAUUUAAUGAAAGCAAUGAUGGUGAGCUCCUAUUUACCUUUGUACAAGGUUUCUUAAUUUAGCACUGUACCUGAAUAUGUGUGGUAGAGUGCAAGUUUUGCUUCUAUAGUGUCUUAAAAUAUAUUUUAAAUAUGGCCCACCUAAAUGGGCCAUUUUAAAUAUGGGCCAUUUUAAAUAUGGCCCAAGUAAAUGAAAAUAGAAAAAACAAGUGAUCACCUUCAGUACCAUCAGAAAAAAAGUCAAAUGUUACUUAAACAAACAGUGAGAAAUGUGAAAUAGAUAAAUUCUGCUGUAAUACACAGUUUCUUAUGAUGGCUUUUUAGAUCCAAUAUCUCUUGGAGAUCUAAAGUCAGUUUUCAGUUGCAGUUUAAAAGACUGUAAAAAUAGAGGAUUUAUGAUUAUAUCAUAAAGGAUAUCCUAGAGUAUUUAAUAUGAAAUAUUUAAUAUGAAAAUUCUCCAGCUCUCAGGAGCAGCAAUUUUCAGCUCUAUGUUCCAAGUGGAACAUGUUGUCAUCUCCUGAAGCAUUGUUUAUUAUGGUGCUGAGUGUUGGUGUCCUUGGAAUCAGUGUGGAAGUGUGAAAAGAAGUAAAUCUGUUAUCAAGGACAGCUGGAUUUCUUGGGUCAAGGUUUAAAGAUCAGAGCUUUCUACUCUUUUUAAAUAUUUCAUGACUGAUUUCUAGUUUUAGGCAUUCAAAAUAACUCCAAAUGAUGUCAUCAUUUUCUCAGUAGAUUGAGGCUAUCACUAGAAGUUACUGCAACAGAAACAGUCCCUCAUGAUUGGCAAGUUGGUAAGAAUUAGAGGAGACUAUUCAUGCCAGCAAACACAGGACAAUCAUAAGUUUUUGAAAUUAGACAGAUGAAGUUUGUAAUCUGUUGUUGCAAUAUACCACUUGUGUAAGUGAAUUUUAACCCUACCUAUGACAAUUGGGAGAUGAUACCUGUGAAAUAAGUGGCAUGAAUUUUGUAAUGAAAUAAUUUGUUGAUUGUGCAAUUGUGUGAUACGGUUUACAUGUAGAUGGCCCCCUAAAGUCUCACGAGAUCAUAGGUGGGACCUUUGUUUUCCAGGGUUUUUUUUUGUUUUUUCUUGGUUGGGGGUACUGGGGAUCGAACUCAGGUCCUUGUGCUUGCACAGCAGUUGGAGAAACCACUGAGCUAAAUCCCCGGCCCCAUAGGCGGGACAUUUGGAAAGUGAUUGAAUUACAGUUGAGUUGCUGCUUGUAGGUAGAACCUGGUUGGGAGAGGUGGGUCACCAUAAGCAUGACAAAGAAUGUUAUAUCUCCCUUCCAAGCUCUUCAUUUUGUUUUCUGCUUCAUGUCUGCCAUGAGGUAAGUAGCUCUCCUCUGCCAUGUGCCUGUGUCAUGUCAUUCUGUCUUGGAACCAGCCACUAUGAACUGAAGCACAAGCCAAAAUAAACCUUUGCUCCUAUAAGUUUUGGGUAUUAAGUAUUGUAUCUCAGCCAUAAAGAGGGAAGUAACUAAGAUUUUGAUACCAAAGAAGUAGGAUCAUUGCUGUGACACUACUUGUCCUGUGGUUCAGAAACAUUUGGAGGUUGUUUGAGGGAGGAGUUUGGAAAUAUUUGAAGAUACCAUCUGGAGAACCAGACUGAAAAUGCUGCAAACUGAUCAUGAUAGGAGAUUCUGGUCAGAUUUCAGAAGAUCAUAAUGCUGAUAGAAGUCGGUAUAGUAAAGAUGAGGUUCAGGAGGUUUCAGUUGGGAACAAGGACUAUAUUGGCAGUAGUACUCCAGACCAUGUGUGUUACACUUUGGCAGAAAAUUUGUCUACAUUUUACUCAGAGUAAGGGCAGUAGAGUAAUCUGGUGGAGAAAAUUUCAAAGCAGCCUAAUAUUAGGGCUGUGAUAUGUAUACUAUUAGGUGACUUUAGCCAGUCCUAGUUGGAAAACCAGGAGCAAAAAGCCCACUUUUAAAGUUUUCAGUUUUUCCAGAAAAAAAACACCUACAAAGUUGUAGCAGAGGAAAGCAUUGUUGCUGAAAUAAUUAGCAGUGAAUAGAAGCCAAGUAUUUUGAAUCAUGAUAGGAAAAAUACUUUGAGGGCACGUGAAGAAUCAGCAAGGGCCCAACCUUCCCAAUUACAAAAUUGCAAAAGUUAAAAACUUUGCUUUAAAAAGGGGGUCCAAGGUUGCAUGCUUCAGAAGGGCAGCUGGGUAGGGAAUUUGUUCCUCAGGAUUUGACUCAUAGUGUUCAGCCAUCCAGGUAUUCACAGGUCCCUGCUACCAUGAUAUAAGGGAUCCUGGCUACUGCUCAAGCUGAUGCAGACCUUGGCAUAAUCCACACGAUUCUGGUUAUACAGGAAUGCAGAGUGCAAAUCUUCUGCGUUUGAGGAGGCAUUGAGCCAGAUUUCAGAAGGCCUAGAAGGCCAGGCAGUGUGCCCCUGAGAAGGCAGUGCUUGAAGCUGGUGAGAGUGAAACUGAGUGUGCAAUAAAGACCCCAGAGAGUUGGAGGAACCAGAAACAUGGAACAUCUGAGGAAAGCCACUGCAUGAAGCAAAGACACCCCAAGAGAAAAGCUAUUAGAGCUUUAACCACCAAGGAUACUGCAGGGGUAGGGCCGUCCAAGCUAUUUGAAGUUCACAUCUCAGCAUAGUUUUCUCUGGGUUCUAGAUAUGGAGCUACAGGAUUUAAUGUUCUCCCUGUUGAUUUUCAGUCUUGCUUUGGUUCCGUUGAUUUCUAUUCCCACAUUUCUCCUUUUUGGAAUGAGAAUGUGUACCUUAUGCAUUGUAUGCCAGCAGUGUUUAACUUCUUUUGGGUAUUUACUGUGGCUUACAGCUAAGAGUUUCCCUUCAGUCUCAGAGGAUACCUUGGACUUGGCCUUUUCAGCAAUGCUGGGAUGGUUAGGAAUUUGGCAACUGUUAGAAACAGACUAAAGGAAAUUUGCAUAAAUAUAUAUGCAUGAAUCUUUGGGGAUUAGGGAUGGAAUUUUAUGAUUUAUGUCUAGAAGUCCCAUAAUAUUGUAGGUGGACUUUAAGGAAGGUGAUUAGACUAUAGGGGUAUUAUAGGUGAAGUGUAUUAGGAGGUGGGGCUUGGUUAGAAAAGACAAAUCACUGUAGAUAUGACCUGGAAGGCGAUAUCUCCCUUCCAAGCUCUUCUCACAGUUCUGUGCUUCCUAGAUGCCAUGAGAUAAGCAGCUUGGCUCCUCCUAGCCCCUUCAACUAUGCUGUUAUGACAUCAAGACAGCUGAGUAUGUACUGCAACCUUUACAAAUGGUGAGCCAAAGUAAACCUUUGGUCAUUUACUUUGUGGGUGUGAGGUAUUGUCUCUAAGCCAUAAGAAAAGUGACUACGGCAUGUACCACCCUUAAAACAGGCAGGCAUACAGUAAAGGGGAAAAAAAACCCUCACUUAUUCAGUGAAAGAAGAAUCUGUGGGAAAAAAACAAGAGUGAAUAUAUUUUAUGAUACUAAUUAAUGUUGGUUAUGAAAUAAUGAUCAAUAUCAUUAACAUAAAAACAUUAAAUCUAAAGAAUGUUCAUAGUAUACAUAAUUAAAACAGUGUCACUGGGUUUGGCAAUCUAUAAGUCAUUGAUAAAUUUGGAAUGACCAUAUUACUAUAUGAAUGAAAUACAGACAUUUGGAUGUGUAAAUUAAAAUAGAAUUUAAAUUUUACUUUAAGAGGGAUGAUCAGUGGAGUUAUGCAGAAAUGUUUCUUGUUCUUUUGAUGAGACCUAAGUAUACGUACAGACAGAUUACAAGGAGCAAAUUGAUGAAUUAAAAAUACUGAUGAAAUCAGACAUCAUAAUUACAGUAAAGGCCCAUAGAAUGUGAUAGAAGAGUAGCAGUGGAGGAGCAUGGAAGGCACUUGCACUUGAAUAGAUCAAAGAAAUACAAUGUUGUUGAGAUGUAGAAUAGGUCAUUCAUACAAAAGAGAGCAAAUGAUUGUGAUAGUGGCAGGAUCAUGAAACAAGAAUUUACUAGCCAUGUACUAAUCAUUUCCCUGAUGAAAGGAAAGCAGAUUUUAUUUAUCUGUGAGACUGAUAAAUAAAAAAAAUAUAUCAGAUGGGAAACAAGGAUCUUGUUCUGAGUAGGGACAUGCAAUGGUCUAAAGGCAGUAUCUUUAUGUGACUUUAGAUGUAAGAGGAUGAACAAGUUGCACUGCAGAUCUGCCAUGGUGAGUUAACUUUAAAAAGAGACAGAAUAAGGUCAUGAUGUGAGAUUGGAGGUAGGCAAAGACCUGGUGAAUAUACAUAACGAUUAAAAGGGGUUUAUUAGUAACAAAUCAUACUUUCCACAAGGAAACGGGGACUGAUGCGAAGGUGGGGAUAGUAGACAGUGAAUUAGAAACAUAAAAAUAUGAGGAGAGAGAGAGAGAGGCAGAGAGAAUGAAAGAACAGAAAUUCCCAUUUGGGCUAUAUUUGGAUAUUGACCAAAGUUAUACAAAGUUAUAAAGGAUGCAAUAAUUUUCCACUGAAUAAAACCAAAAAUAUGCUUCAUCAAAAGCACAGGCUGAGACUUCAGGAAAAAAGCCCUUACAGAGG
rnacentral:lncRNA from 1 species